GGACAGGAGAAGGGUCUGGCUGCAGACCAUGGGCGAGUGGAGCUCCACUCUCAAACCGGAAGUACGUCACCUCCACUUGAAAACAUCAAGAUGGCGUCGCCGGGAGUACUUCAAACUUAAAAUCAGAUCAAAUGUAUAUCAAGUGUUAUCCAUCCUUGAUAACACCUCCACAAAUAGAGACUGGAACUUCUGAGCACCAUCACCUUGUCUGCUUUGGGACUGUCAUAGGAGAAUGAUGCAGUACUAUUCUGUGUUGAAUUUACAAAACGUCAGUACACAGACAUAGUUUUGUUCCAGUUUUGCUGUGCUCAUGUCUUCUUUGUGUCCCCAGCCCAGCAAUCAGAUGCAUCAGAACAACAAAGCACAACUGUGGUGGACCAGGCACCUUCAGCAACAAGUAAAUUGCUUUAACUUUAAUGAUAAUGAAAUGUCAGUAUUGUAAUUAAACUUGACCCAUCUGACGUAAUUGUUCAUGCCAGAGAUUUAACAACACUGUCAGUCAGGAGCAUAUUUAACAGGAGCCACACUCAACUGGCUUGAUGGUGACUUCAGUAAGUGUGGUUGACCCUCUUGUUUUUGUGGCUAUAAUAAUUAGGCUAAGUAAACUCACUCUCUUCCAUUUCCCUAACAUGAAACUUGACUGAAACAUGAAAAUGAUACUUAACCGGUGCAGUGAAGAUAUUUAAAGAAACACUAUCACUAUCUAAAGUACAGAAAGCCUUACAUCAUCUCUAGGUCCAGUCGCCUACAGUGCAGCCAGCUUCACAAAGACUGUGGGGCUGGUCACCAGGAAAAUGGACAACAGGGAGUGCUUUUGGGGUUUUACUCCUCAGAUGACCACCCUGGCUACUGUAGCUAGGAUUGCUUCACAGACGAUGGAGGUCUUGAAGAGUAAAGUGUGCGUGCGUGCGCACACAUUGUGUUUUUACUGUAACAAUUAUGGUCACUUGCAGUUAAUUUGUUUUUAGUGUAGUGUAAGAUGUGUUAAUUAUUAUUAUUACUCAAAAACCAUUAAAACUUCUAAAUUGUGGAAGUUAUUCUUCAUUAUGUUACUGUGGUUAUUUUGUAUAUGUUAUUAUUUCGAUUAAAAUACAAAAUUCAACACACAAA